AUCUGUAAAAAAAACAUUUGAUGGUCAAGAUCAGUUCCCAAAACAUUAAUAUAUUUUUUUAAUAAAAAAUCAAAAUUGAGGGAAUCAAUACACAAAACCAGAAACUAGGAUCUCAUCUUCCUCACAAAAAACACAAUUUUCUACCAAACACUACUGCACAACACCAUCACAAUCACCACCAUCUCAAAAAAACAAAAAAAUAAAGUACAAUGAAGAACAAAAAGAAACAGAACAGAGCAAAGAAGGAAGAAGGAGCGAAGAUCUCGCCGUUGACCGCGAGCACUUCACAGUUCACUCUUUCUUUCUCGCCGGACCUCCGCCGGUUCUUUCUCUCUCUCUCGUCGGUUUGCUCAGUUAAUGGUUGAGAUCAAUUGGCAUUAGGAGGAGGCAUCAUCACUCUAUAUUGAGAUGGUGGGUGGUGGUUGUGUGGUAGUGUUUGGUAGAAAAUGGUGGGUUUUAUGAGGAAGAUGAAGAUCAUGAUUUCUUCAAUUUUGAUUUCAAUCAUUAAAUGUUUUUUUGGUUAUGUGUAUUCUGGACUAUAUUUUGGGAACUCAUCUCAGAUGUUUUUUUUUACACAUGGCAUUCAUCUACACAUUCAAUAGGUUAAACGGAGAGUUUAUCAAAUGGAGGGAACC
rnacentral:lncRNA from 1 species